rnacentral:rRNA from 1 species
GACAGAGGGUGCAAACGUUGUUCGGAAUUACUGGGCGUAAAGCGUGUGUAGGCGGCCAUGCAAGUCGGAUGUGAAAGCCCUGGGCUCAACCCAGGAAGUGCACUCGAAACUGCGUGGCUUGAGUACUGGAGAGGUUGGUGGAAUUCUCGGUGUAGUGGUGAAAUGCGUAGAUAUCGGGAGGAACACCAGUGGCGAAGGCGACUUCCUGGCCUGUUCUUGACGCUGAGGCGCGAAAGCUAGGGGAGCAAACGGG